rnacentral:rRNA from 1 species
GCGCAGCAGGCGCGAAUACUUUACAAUGUGCGAAAGCACGAUAAGGGAACUCUGAGUGCCUCCUAAGGAGGCUGUUCAGGUGUCUAAAAGCACCUGAAGGAAGGGCUGGGUAAGACCGGCGCCAGCCGCCGCGGUAACACCGGCAGCCCAAGUGGUAGCCACGUUUAUUGGGUCUAAAGCGUCCGUAGCCGGCUGGGUAAGUUCCUUGGGAAAUUUGGCUGCUUAACAGUCAAGCUUUCAGGGAAUACUGCCCGGCUUGGGACCGGGAGAGGUCAGAGGUACUCCAGGGGUAGGGUGAAAUCCAUUAAUCCUUGGGGGACCACCGGUAGCGAAGGCGUCUGACCAGACCGGGUCCGACGGUGAGGGACGAAGGCCAGGGGCGCGAACCGGAUUAGAUACCCGCGUAGU